rnacentral:rRNA from 1 species
UGUGGCGGCGUGCUUAACACAUGCAAGUCGAGCGGUAAGGCCCUUCGGGGUACACGAGCGGCGAACGGGUGAGUAACACGUGGGCAACCUGCCCUGCACUCUGGGAUAAGCCUGGGAAACUGGGUCUAAUACCGGAUAGGACCUGUCCUCGCAUGAGGUGGGUGGAAAGUUCCGGCGGUGCAGGAUGGGCCCGCGGCCUAUCAGCUUGUUGGUGGGGUAGUGGCCUACCAAGGCGACGACGGGUAGCCGGCCUGAGAGGGCGACCGGCCACACUGGGACUGAGACACGGCCCAGACUCCUACGGGAGGCAGCAGUGGGGAAUAUUGCGCAAUGGGCGAAAGCCUGACGCAGCGACGCCGCGUGAGGGAUGACGGCCUUCGGGUUGUAAACCUCUUUCAGCGCCGACGAAGCGAAGUGACGGUAGGCGCAGAAGAAGCACCGGCUAACUACGUGCCAGCAGCCGCGGUAAUACGUAGGGUGCGAGCGUUGUCCGGAAUUAUUGGGCGUAAAGAGCUCGUAGGCGGUUUGUUGCGUCGGCCGUGAAAACCUGGGGCUUAACUCCGGGCUUGCGGUCGAUACGGGCAGACUUGAGUUCGGCAGGGGAGACUGGAAUUCCUGGUGUAGCGGUGAAAUGCGCAGAUAUCAGGAGGAACACCGGUGGCGAAGGCGGGUCUCUGGGCCGAUACUGACGCUGAGGAGCGAAAGCGUGGGGAGCGAACAGGAUUAGAUACCCUGGUAGUCCACGCCGUAAACGUUGGGCGCUAGGUGUGGGGCUCAUUCCACGGGUUCCGUGCCGUAGCUAACGCAUUAAGCGCCCCGCCUGGGGAGUACGG